rnacentral:lncRNA from 1 species
UCCGGUACAGAAAAAUACGACUUUUUUGUUAUAUGUUUCUUUUUAUAAUUUUUCACAUUUAAACACUCGUUAAGUGUUCUUGAAUCAAUUCUAUGCGGUUCCUUCAGCAACUUUAUGCUGGUAAACGAUUUCCCCAUGAAAAUAAUGUGAAAAGAAAUCGCAUGAUACGAUAAAAAGGUAACGACUAACGAGGCUCGAGAAACGUUAAUAUGUUUUCAACAAGUUGAA